rnacentral:rRNA from 1 species
CUCGUAGGCGGUUCGUCGCGUCCGGUGUGAAAGUCCAUCGCUUAACGGUGGAUCCGCGCCGGGUACGGGCGGGCUUGAGUGCGGUAGGGGAGACUGGAAUUCCCGGUGUAACGGUGGAAUGUGUAGAUAUCGGGAAGAACGCCAAUGGCGAAGGCAGGUCUCUGGGCUGUUACUGACGCUGAGGAGCGAAAGCGUGGGGAGCGAACA